AUGAUUGUUCAACUGUCUCAUGGUGACGUGUUACUAGCCGUUCAUCCAAACCUACCCUAUGUUUUGACACCGGGUAUAAGGCUUUUAGACUGGGACAAGGGCUGGUAUGGCACACAAAGUUUUUCUGCAGAUGACAAGGUACAGACACUCACAUUUAAUGCUGGGGACGACAACAGAUUUGCCAGUGGGUCUUUGGAGGGCCAAAUAAAGGUUUGGACGCUCGAUUCUUCAGCCCCUGAGUAUUCUUUGCUUGGGCAUUUGAAAGCGGUGACAUUCCUCGAUUUUAUCACACAUGGAGAUCAAACAUAUUUGAUCAGUGGCUCCAAGGAUUGCACUUCCAAGAUAUGGGACUUGCAGAAAAGAGAGUGCAUUUAUACGUUAGACGCUAUGUCUCCAGUUCGUUGUGUCCUUGCCCACCCAUAUCUUCCAGUUAUAAUUACAGGAGCAGAACAUGGCAUCAUUCAUCUAUGGAGCUUCACUGAUUUCAGGCUCAAGAGAACUAUUAACUUUGGUGGUGGUGGACCAGUUGUGGGUCUCGCAUGUUUGAUAGGCUCACAAAGGAUUGUGAUUGGGCAAGAGAAUGCAAUAUCUACCAUGGAAAUCCAUUGCGAUGAAGAGACGCGAUCAGAGCGCAGUCAAGACGAAGCAACGAGUAGUGCAGAUGAAGCAGAGCAUGAAGAAAGAAAGCAACUGACCGUGACGCUUGCGCAGCAAGGGCCGCCAACCAAGUCCCGGAAUCAACGCCGUCGGAACAAUCGACGCGCCCGUAUGAUGCCAGAGCAAGCUGAAGCACAGGCGAGGCCUAGUCAACCCGAGGCAGAGCGAGCUGAAGCACAGGCGAGGCCCAGUGAACCCGAGGAACGCGGAGCUGGAGCACAGGCGAGGCCUAGUCAACCCGAGGAACACGGAGCUGGAGCACAGGCGAGGCCUAGUCAACCCGAGGCAAAGCGCGGUGAUACAGAGGAGGCGACUGCAACGCGAGAGCAGCAAAAGUUGCCUCCCAUGUGGAAAACGCCGAGGGCACAGCACCGCCGGGAGAAGCGACACUCCCAUUCACUGGCCAAGUGA
rnacentral:rRNA from 1 species